rnacentral:lncRNA from 1 species
GAGAUGAUGUCCAGACUCUGCACACUCAGGAGAAGCACACUGGUGCUGGUGGCUCUUUCCUGACCUCUCCAGGUUUCCUGACUGCUGGGACCCAGUUUCAGCAGCCACCUCCUCUCCAGGACCCUUUCCUCCCAUGCUGGCUUCUCCCUGUCCUGGGACUCCACCCAGGUCAAGCUGCAGGGAAGGAAGCAGCCCUAGAGUCUCCAUCGUGGCCCAGCCUCUUCCCUCUGGAUCUCCAAUCACCCGUUCUGUGCCAAGUAAAGAUGAAGCCAAUGAUGCUACACACUCAGGGACAUACAGUUGGGCAGGACUUCAAAGAAUGAAAAGGGGCAUUGAACAAAAGACAUGACACUGGACCAAGCCUGCGCUGAUGGUGGCUUUGUGG